UGGGGAAUAUUGGACAAUGGGCGAACGCCUGAUCCAGCCAUGCCGCGUGUGUGACGAAGGUCUUCGGAUUGUAAAGCACUUUAAGUUGGGAGGACGGGCAUUAACCUAAUACGUUAGUGUUUUGACGUUACCGACAGAAUAAGCACCGGCUAACUCUGUGCCAGCAGCCGCGGUAAUACAGAGGGUGCAAGCGUUAAUCGGAAUUACUGGGCGUAAAGCGCGCGUAGGUGGUUUGUUAAGUUGGAUGUGAAAUCCCCGGGCUCAACCUGGGAACUGCAUUCAAAACUGACUGACUAGAGUAUGGUAGAGGGUGGUGGAAUUUCCUGUGUAGCGGUGAAAUGCGUAGAUAUAGGAAGGAACACCAGUGGCGAAGGCGACCACCUGGACUAAUACUGACACUGAGGUGCGAAAGCGUGGGGAGCAAACA
rnacentral:rRNA from 1 species